AAACAUAUGGUUUCAUUCACUUCAUUCAUAGCUCAAUUCUUAAUUCAAAUAUUAUUUCAAUGGCAUUGAUAAUCUAUUAAGGCAUAACCAAGCCAUACUUCUGAAAUUUAAUUACCAAACAUUUAUCUAUACAUAAAUUAUAACAUUUCCAAACACACAUUGAUUCAUUAACAUGUUUAAUAUCACAUAGACUUUAUUUUGUCGAAUAUAUAUAUACUUCCCUAUAAACACGUUUAAGGUUCACAUUUCA
rnacentral:lncRNA from 1 species